rnacentral:rRNA from 1 species
AGCAGCCGCGGUAAUUCCAGCUCCAAUAGCGUAUAUUAAAGUUGUUGCAGUUAAAAAGCUCGUAGUUGAACUUCAGACUUGGUUGGGCGGUCCGCCUAACGGCGUGUACUGUCUGGCUGGGUCUUACCUCUUGGUGAGCCAGCGUGCCCUUUAUUGGCGUGCGUUGGGGAACCAGGACUUUUACCUUGAGAAAAU